rnacentral:rRNA from 1 species
AGAGUUUGAUCCUGGCUCAGGACGAACGCUGGCGGCGUGCUUAACACAUGCAAGUCGAGCGAGAAAACUCUUCGGAGUGAGUACAGCGGCGAACGGGUGAGUAACACGUGGGCAACCUGCCCUUGGGAGCGGGACAACCCGGGGAAACUCGGGCUAAUACCGCAUGUCCCCCUUGGUCAUAAGACCUUGGGGAAAAGGUAGCUUCGGCCUCCGCCCUUGGAUGGGCCCGCGGCGCAUUAGCUUGUUGGUGGGGUAACGGCUUACCAAGGCAACGAUGCGUAGCUGGUCUGAGAGGACGAUCAGCCACACUGGGACUGAGACACGGCCCAGACUCCUACGGGAGGCAGCAGUGGGGAAUCUUGCGCAAUGGGCGAAAGCCUGACGCAGCAACGCCGCGUGCGGGAAGACGGCCUUAGGGUUGUAAACCGCUUUCAGGGGGGACGAAGCUUCCGAGGUUAAUAGCCUACGGGGUGACGGUACCCCCAGAAGAAGCCCCGGCUAACUACGUGCCAGCAGCCGCGGUAAUACGUAGGGGGCGAGCGUUGUCCGGAAUCAUUGGGCGUAAAGCGCGUGUAGGCGGCUUGGCAAGUCUGGUGUGAAAUCUUGGGGCUCAACCCCAAGCGUGCACUGGAAACUGCCUCGCUAGAGUCCGGGAGAGGAGAGCGGAACUCCCAGUGUAGCGGUGAAAUGCGCAGAUAUUGGGAAGAACACCGAUGGCGAAGGCAGCUCUCUGGAACGGUACUGACGCUGAGACGCGAAAGCGUGGGGAGCGAACAGGAUUAGAUACCCUGGUAGUCCACGCCGUAAACGAUGGGCACUAGAUGUGGGCGGUGUCGACUCCGUCCGUGUCGAAGCUAACGCAUUAAGUGCCCCGCCUGGGGAGUACGGCCGCAAGGCUAAAACUUAAAGGAAUUGACGG